AUGGAUUCUGCAGUCCUCCAGUUCAGGCUAGACUACGAGCAAGUCAAGCGCCUUAGCGUCGACGAUGUCGUCUGCUCUGAGGCCGUCUCCGUCGGCCAACACCUGUGGAGGAUCGACUGUUACCCGCGGGGACCAGAAAAGUACUCCGACAAGGACAAUGGAAAUUAUGUUUCCCUGUACCUUAGGCACAUGAGCAGCUCCAGAAGCGUACAUGCAAUCUUCGACGCCUUCUUGAUGGACAUAAAUGACGACCCAUCAGAAGCACGAAAGACGACUCGACUUCAUAAGUUCGAAAUCAAGGGCGACCCUUUAAAGCGUGACGACUGGGGAUAUCAUCGGUUCGUGGCCAGAACGGUCCUCGAGGAAAACUAUGUUAUUGAUGGGCACAUCACGUUUGUAUGCACCAUCAUCGUCAUGCGUGAUACACCUGUCACCGUGCCGCCUUCCGACAUCGGGAACCAACUCGGCUGCUUACUGGAUCAGCCACAUGGGACGGACGUGUCGUUUACCGUUGACGGCGAGACAUUCCCGGCGAACCGAGCGAUUCUUGCAGCCCGCUCGCCCGUCUUCAAGGCAGAGCUUUUUGGGUCCAUGGCCGAAGCUGCAAUGUCAUCCAUCACGCUGCAUGAUAUCACACCCGCUACAUUCAAACAUAUGCUUCGGUUCAUAUACACGGAUGAGUUUCCUACUACUACACAGGAUAACCCAUCCAAUGACGUAUUGUUUGAUUUAUUACUUGCCGCUGCAGAUCGGUACGCACUAGACCGGCUAAAGCUUAUGUGUGUCCAAAAGUUAUGGGAUAAUGUGUCGAUGGAUACAGUUACAGAUAUUCAAGCUUGCGCUGAGAUGUACAAUUGCCCAGAGUUGAAGGACAAGUGCAUUGACUUUAUUAUGCGCAAAAAAAAAGUGCAUUGA
rnacentral:rRNA from 1 species